ensembl:lncRNA
CUGCUGUCACCAGAGAGCAGAGCUCAGCGCUGUCCUUCCGCUACCCUUCUGAGGAGAUGUAGGCUGCUAUGAGGCCUCCCCUCAGCCCCCCCUCCCAGAGACAGCUGGCAUUUCUAGAGAGCAGCUCAGUCCUAAGCUGGACUGUGCUCCUUCCUCUCUUGUGUGGCAUCCCACAGUACAUGGUACAGCUGGAUGGAAGAGAUGGGGGCUCUCCCACACUGGCCUAUCUUUAAACCGUGUCAUUCCAGCCCAGGAAGGGCUGUUUCUGCUGCCCUUCCAGCCACUCAUAGUGCAAGUAUUUUGAGGUAGGGCUGCUGUGAGGAAAUAGGUGAAACCUGUCUUGGCACAGGGCAUCUCGUGAAGAGCUAUUAGACCCCACAGAACCCUGUGAAAACAAAACCUCCCUGAAGUCCCCUGAUGAGUAAUGAUUUUGCCAUCUGACAGCUGCUCACGGCAUAGCCCCACACUUGCUGCCAGCAGCCCCUCCUGCUGCUGACCUCAUAUGUUCCACCUGAAGGUUUGCAGAAAAUGCAGGGCACUAUUUAAUUGUUUUUAUGAAUAUCUUUAUUUGUCUUAGAACUCAGCCUAUGCUUCCCGCUAGUCUCGUUCCCAUCUGCACUCUGCAUACGGAUCAGUGAUUUCAGUGCCUUUUCAAUAAUUCAGGCUGUGUGCUUUAGCGAUGUCAUCUCGGGAAAGAAGCACCAAGGCGCUGCGCUUCCCACCGGCAGGAGGAGGAGGCGCACGGCGGAGGCUUCCCUAUGCCUUUCGCUUCAUUUUCAGACACAUUUGCAUCAGAAAGGUCCAGUCCCUCAGACAAAGGUCAGAUGCUCUUCAGCGGGAACUUUUCCCUGAAAUCUGACCGCAGACUCAAACUUUCUGCAUCAGAAAAGCAUCUUUCCUCACUGACAUCUCCAAUACACAGGAGCACGGUCUUUUUGCUCACUGCAACACAAUGCAGUUUAAGACACGCGAGGCCAAAACAGAAGGCUGCUGUAUUUCAAGCCCUGGCUCUUACUCCUACAACGCUGCACGUUAAGAAAUGCGUCUCCGAGGGGGCUGGAGGCAGCACACAAGCCGCUGACGGCACCCCGAGCUCUGCGCGGCCCCUCCCGCCUCAACACCACCAUCUUGCAGCUCGCAGCGCCGGCGCAAAUUCCGCGCAACGCCGCAGGCUGAGGCUGAGCCUCCGUGUCUCCCGAUUCUGUCCGCGGGGGCGGCGUCCGCCGGCGUUGUCGGCGCUCUGCUGCCUGGGCGUGUGUCCGUCCAUCCGUCCGUCCGUCCGUCCGUGUGCGCAAGGCGGGGCCGCACAGCCCGCGCCGGCUGCUGCCAUCUGGGAGCCGGGGCGUGGAGCGGAGGAGGGCGCAGGGGGGGGCCGAGCAUCCUUCAGGCCGAAGCUCCGUUCGUUUCUGCGGGUUCCGUGCCUGCUUUUAGGCACGGGUACCAGCGAAGUACCUGCAGAUCGGUUUACCUCCUCCUCCUCGUGGGGUUUUUUCUUUUUUUUUUUUUUUUUUUUUGGCUUGGUGAUUUUUUUUUUCUUUUUUUUUUUCUUCCUACGAAGAAGCUUCUGAAGCGGGGCGAGAGCUGAUUUCCCGUAGAUGGUGCCGCGGCGGGGAGGGCAGCCCCCCUGCCAGCCCCGGGCCGGGGGAGCAGCCCCUGGCUUCGCUCGCCCUGCCUAGCGGCCCUCUCCGCGGCACCGGCAGCG